ACGGAAGGCAGCAGUGAGGAAUAUUGGUCAAUGGGCGAGAGCCUGAACCAGCCAAGUCGCGUGAAGGAUGAAGGUUCUAUGGAUUGUAAACUUCUUUUGUCCGAGGGUAAAAAAGGUCACGUGUGACUUCUUGCAAGUAUCGGACGAAUAAGCAUCGGCUAACUCCGUGCCAGCAGCCGCGGUAAUACGGAGGAUGCGAGCGUUAUCCGGAUUUAUUGGGUUUAAAGGGUGCGUAGGUGGUUUGUUAAGUUUGUGGUGAAAGCGUGCGGCUCAACCGUACCAAGCCAUGAAAACUGGCGAACUUGAGUGCAAACGAGGUAGGCGGAAUGUGAUGUGUAGCGGUGAAAUGCUUAGAUAUGUCACAGAACCCCGAUUGCGAAGGCAGCUUACCAGCAUGCAACUGACACUGAGGCACGAAAGCGUGGGUAUCAAACAGGAUUAGAUACCCUGGUA
rnacentral:rRNA from 1 species